CCUACGGGAGGCAGCAGUAGGGAAUCUUCCGCAAUGGACGAAAGUCUGACGGAGCAACGCCGCGUGAACGAUGAAGGCCUUCGGGUCGUAAAGUUCUGUUGUUAGGGAAGAACAAGUGCUAGUUGAAUAAGCUGGCACCUUGACGGUACCUAACCAGAAAGCCACGGCUAACUACGUGCCAGCAGCCGCGGUAAUACGUAGGUGGCAAGCGUUGUCCGGAAUUAUUGGGCGUAAAGCGCGCGCAGGCGGUUUCUUAAGUCUGAUGUGAAAGCCCCCGGCUCAACCGGGGAGGGUCAUUGGAAACUGGGAAACUUGAGUGCAGAAGAGGAAAGUGGAAUUCCAAGUGUAGCGGUGAAAUGCGUAGAGAUUUGGAGGAACACCAGUGGCGAAGGCGACUUUCUGGUCUGUAACUGACGCUGAGGCGCGAAAGCGUGGGGAGCAAACAGGAUUAGAUACCCUGGUAGUCCACGCUGUAAACGAUGAGUGCUAAGUGUUAGAAGGUUUCCGCCUUUAGUGCUGAAGUUACGCAUUAAGCNCUCGCCGUGGAGGUACGUCGCGAGACGUAGAACGUUAAAUAGAAGUUAGUACGGUACGUGAGACGUGCCGACGGACGACGACGAGGGAGGUUAGG
rnacentral:rRNA from 1 species